GCAGUCGCCGCGGGAAUACGGAGGGUGCAAGCGUUAAUCGGAAUUACUGGGCGUAAAGCGCACGCAGGCGGUCUGACAAGUCAGAUGUGAAAUCCCCGGGCUUAACCUGGGAACUGCAUUUGAAACUGUCAGGCUGGAGUCUUGUAGAGGGGGGUGGAAUUCCAGGUGUAGCGGUGAAAUGCGUAGAGAUCUGGAGGAAUACCGGUGGCGAAGGCGGCCCCCUGGACAAAGACUGACGCUCAGGUGCGAAAGCGUGGGGAGCAAACAGGAUUAGAUACCCCUGUAGUCCCUGUCUCUUAUAA
rnacentral:rRNA from 1 species